UACGUAGGGUGCAAGCAUUAAUCGGAAUUACUGGGCGUAAAGCGUGCGCAGGCGGUUAUGCAAGUCAGAUGUGAAAUCCCCGGGCUUAACCUGGGAACCGCAUUUGUGACUGCAUAGCUGGAGUACGGCAGAGGGGGAUGGAAUUCCGCGUGUAGCAGUGAAAUGCGUAGAUAUGCGGAGGAACACCGAUGGCGAAGGCAGUCCCCUGGGCCUGUACUGACGCUCAUGCACGAAAGCGUGGGGAGCAAACAGG
rnacentral:rRNA from 1 species